rnacentral:rRNA from 1 species
AACGCUGGCGGCAGGCUUAACACAUGCAAGUCGAGCGGGGAAAGGUAGCUUGCUACCUAACCUAGCGGCGGACGGGUGAGUAAUGCUUAGGAAUCUGCCUAUUAGUGGGGGACAACAUUCCGAAAGGAAUGCUAAUACCGCAUACCCCCUACGGGGGAAAGCAGGGGAUCUUCGGACCUUGCGCUAAUAGAUGAGCCUAAGUCAAAUUAGCUAGUUGGUGGGGUAAAGGCCUACCAAGGCGACUAUCUGUAGCGGGUCUGAAAGGAUGAUCCGCCACACUGGGACUGAAACACGGCCCACACUCCUACGGGAGGCAGCAGUGGGGAAUAUUGGACAAUGGGCGAAAGCCUGAUCCAGCCAUGCCGCGUGUGUGAAGAAGGUCUUUUGGUUGUAAAGCACUUUAAGCGAGGAGGAGGCUACUUGGAUUAAUACUCUAGGAUAGUGGACGUUACUCGCAGAAUAAGCACCGGCUAACUCUGUGCCAGCAGCCGCGGUGAUACAGAGGGUGCGAGCGUUAAUCGGAUUUACUGGGCGUAAAGCGUGCGUACGC